AAGCAUUGUGAUGAACAUAUUUCGCCCCUAGAUGAAUUUCGAUUGUGAAAUUACCAGAUUGGUCUUACUGAUAAACUUAUGAAUAGUUAACAUUUCAUUUAUUCUAUAAUCAUUAAGUGUAACCAUCAUAUUUGGUUGUUCUAGGAUUGUUCUCAGUACGAACUGAAAUGAUGAAAUUUUUAACUGGCAUUGGAAUUUAAUGAACAUUGAUGCAAGGGGAUCAAUUGAGCCAGUGCACUCAUCAAAGCACAAUGGAAAGUUUGUCCAGAAACUUCUUACAAUCAUCAAAGCAGAUCCAACGGAGGCUGAUUAAGCGUGAAUCCGCAGAACGAUCAAUUGGUCCGUGACUAAAGUGCAAAGACAUUGUACGAUCAAUGUAUAUAAGGUGUGUUUCUAAAGCCUAUCAAUUACUUCAUGGAAUAAUGGAUGAUAUUUCAACUUCAAAUCCAACCUAUAGAAGGGAAAUUCAACACCAAUAUCCUGGAAGCAUGGCAAAAUUAGAAAUCCUUUCACAAACAACUAAACUGAUGCUGGAUGGAUGACUGAAGAAAUCAAAAAAGGAUUUAACUUUUGGAAAUACCAGUUUUAGGGAAUCAACAGAUCAACAGGGGAUACCAAAAGUCUAAGGAAGGACAGGCCUAACGAAAGCAUGAUGAACAGGAGCUCGUUUAUUUAAAUAGACAAGGUGAAAUUGUAAGAAACAGGUUGGAAUGCUUUCUUGUUCAGUAUGGAAAGUAAAAACAAAGGCUCGAACGUUAUACGAAUAUUAUAGUCGAAAAUUUUGUAUCUUGGUUUGUUUGCUUCAAAUGAUCUUUGUAGACAACUUUUAAAACCAGUAGCAUUGUGUUCAAUAUCGACUGGGUAUACAUAUAAAAUAUGCUAAUCGCUCUUUGCUUUUAGGGUGGAAGGAUAUAGUUUAUAAAUAAAAUAAAUGAAUACAAACAAUAAAAACUCCAA